rnacentral:rRNA from 1 species
AUUGAACGCUGGCGGCAGGCCUAACACAUGCAAGUCGAGCGUGCGUCGCACGGUUUUUUACUGUCUGGGUAACUGCCUGAUGUUGGGGGUUAACUACUGUAAACGGUUUCUAAUACCCCCUACCAUCUGAUGUUCCCCGUUGGGUUGGGCUUGUGGGUGGGGUAACGGCUCACCUAGGCGACGAUCCCUAGCUGGUCUGAGAGGAUGACCAGCAAAACUGGAACGUAGACACGGUCCAGACUCCUACGGGAGGCAGCAGUGGGGAAUAUUGCACAAGGGGAGCAAGCCUGAUGCAGCCAUGCGGCGGGUGUGAAGAAGGCCUUCGGGUUGUAAAGGACUUUCAGCGGGGAGGCGUUACGCGAAGAAGAAGGAAAGGCUAACUCCGUGCCAGCAGCCGCGGUAAUUG